rnacentral:lncRNA from 1 species
AGAAGAACAACAAACAAGAAGUGGUUGUAACUAACUCCCAACAAUUUGAGAAGAAGAGGAAGAAACCAAUCAAUCUUGAUGCCAACCCUUGACACCAAAGAAAGGAUGCCGCCCACUUCUCUCUAAGAUCCAAAAAAGAGAUGCCUAGAGAGAGGAGGAUGUGGGCUAGAGAGAGAGGAGAGGGGGCGUGGGCACAGUAAUAAGUGUCGGCAA